rnacentral:lncRNA from 1 species
GCCCACCCUCGGGUUCGUGCCGUGGGGGAGAUCUUCGUGGGCUAUACUGUCUCAGGGUAGUAAGUUUGUGGUUGAAGAUAUCCCUCUACUGGUGUGGGGGCUGUGCUUUGGCAAAGUGGGUUAUAUCCUGCCUGGUUGGCCCUAUCCAAGGGUAUCGUCGCGGAUGGGGCCACAGUGUCUCCUGACCCCUCCUGUCUCAGCCUCCAGUAUUUAUGCUGCAAUAGUUUGUGUCGGGGGGCUAGGGUCAGUCUGUUAUAUCUGGAGUAUUUCUCCUGUCUUUUCCGGUGUCCUGUGUAAAUGUAAGUAUGCUCCCUCUAAUUCCCUCUCUCUCUUUCCAUCCCCUCCCGGAGGACCUGAGCCCUGGGACCAUGCCUCAGGACUACCUGGCCUGAUGACCUUGCUGUCCCCAGUCCACCUGGUCGUACUGCUGCUCCAGUUUCAACUGUUCUGCCUGCGGCUAUGGAACCCUGACCUUGUCCCGGACCUGCUGUUUUCGACUCUCUCUCUCUCUACCGCACCUGCUGUCUGGAACUCUGAAUGCUCGGGUGUCAUGGAACGAGUGAUCAUUGUUCCAGAGGAGGGAUUGUUGGAGAUUGACUUUAGAAGUGACUAAUGUGUUAUGGGUAAGAUGGAAUGACUUAUGUGCGAAUGUAUUUGUGGCCGGAGGCAAGGUAUUGGAGACAGGAUGUUUGCAUAAGGGUGUUAAUUGCAGUCUGGCAAGACCGUCAUCAGUGUAUUAUGUGGAGUCCCAAAAACCAAGGCAUUAACAUUAUAGGGAAUUGGGAGAGCGGAAUGGAAUGUGACUGAGGAGAUCUGUGUGGCUCAUAAAUUAAGGAAGGAGGUAGUAUAUCACUCCGCUGUGUAUAAUGAUAUCAGGAAAUAGCUCGUAGGAGAGGAAGGACAGCUAACUGUGCACAAUAUAGAGACUACGAAGUUAAAUUGAAAGUCACACACACCCAGAUCAUGGUGGGAGUAGCAGAGAUAGUGUGAUCAUUUCAGGCACCAUUGUCAAAUUUCAAUGAUGGGUUCGUCAAAGGUACAAUGCUUAUGGAUGCUAUAGUAACAGCAUGGAACUGGACUAUAGUGCAAAUUAGGAGAUUUUGAAGUUUUCAUCAUGGGCAGUAUUAGUAGUAGCAGGGGUUACCUUAGUGGCAUUGUUGGGAUAUCAUCUUCUGAGGGCAUUGAUGUGAAAUGUAUGUACAGUGCUGAGUUACCUCAAGAUGAGGUAAAGUUGAUUAGGGCCACCGCACGUGUAUAUCGAUCGGGUGGCCAUGGAGGAGAUUUACAUUUACAUUUAAGUCAUUUAGCAGACGCUCUUAUCCAGAGCGACUUACAAAUUGGUGCAUUCACCUUAUGAUAUCCAGUGGAACAACCACUUUACAAUAGUGC